rnacentral:tRNA from 1 species
AAGAUCUUAAGUUAAAUUAAACUAACAUCCUUCAAAGUUGUAAAUAAAAGAAUAUCUUUUAGAUCUUA